GACAGAGGCCUCGAGCGUUAGGCGGAAUCACUGGGCUUAAAGCGUGUGUAGGCGGAUCGUUAAGUGCCUUGUGAAAUCCCACGGCUUAACUGUGGAACGGCUGGGCAUACUGGCGGUCUUGAGCCAUCUAGGGGCGACUGGAACAAACGGUGGAGCGGUGAAAUGCGUAGAUAUCUGGAGGAACACCGGUGGCGAAGGCGGCGUUCUGGACUGCAACUGACACUGAGGAACGAAAGCCAGGGGAGCAAACGGG
rnacentral:rRNA from 1 species